UCCCAGAUGGUCUAGUGGUCAGGAUUCACCGCCGCGGUCCGGGUUCGAUUCCCGGACAGGGAA
rnacentral:tRNA from 1 species